ensembl:lncRNA
GUCUACUCAGGGCCAAUCUGCAGGUUAAUUUAUGGCAGCGGGCACUCUGAUGAUUUGGGAUCAUUUAAGCUCAUUACUACGGCACCUGGUGCCCAGGCUGCCCCAGUAGCUUAACUGGUCAUGUGACUUGAGUGACAUCAUCACCACUUUUCCCCACUUCCUGGAUUAAUGUUUGGUGGCCUACUUUUCCUCCGAAGCCUCUGGCAGAAGAUCCUGAGGAAGCAAAGCAUAAUACCGAUAAAUAUUAGAUCCUUCACUGCACUACUGGUUACAAGGAAAGAGGAAAUAUUCCGUUUUACAGGUUCUUCAUCCACCUCGACCUCACCCCCCAAUCCCCAAACUGUUGGAAGACGGCACAGCGAAAGUGCACAGGCCUGUCUUAUUCUUUGGAGGGAAGCACUUUCUCUUGUCAUUGGCUUUUUCCUUCUAGCCACGAAGAAAUGUACUUUUGCGAAGAACUGGAAAGAGGAUUCUGUGAACUUGUAUGGAGAAGCUGUUGACGGUGAAGGAUGUAACAUUGUGCUGAAAUAACUGGCUGAAAGAAACUCAGGGAAGAAAUAAAAGAGACAUGAGGAGAAGGCUCUCUGCUGGAUAGAAUGACCGAAUCUGGUGGAAGGAGGGUCCUGGGGGCAGUGGGAGGCAGGGUUCUCAAUGAAGUGGGUGCACAGGUUAUUAUCCCAGAGCCAUCCCCAGUCCUUAUUAGCAUCACCUGCUUGUUUCCAGCUCAGAGAUUCAGCUCCACUUUCCUUUGGCAAAGGGAGAGGCAUUUCAAGAUAUUUGGUCCUCAACAUCUGGAAGAGAGAAAACUCUUAAUAUACGGUGUUUUAAGGAAAACUUCAGGAUGCAAGCCAACAAAUAUCAAAGAAGAUAAUGAAGAUUAGCCCUGCGCUAACAUCUGCUGCCAAUCCUCUUCUUUUCACUGAGGAAGACUGGCCCUGAGCUAACAUCCAUGCCCAUCUUCCCCCACUUGAUAUGUGGCAUCCCUACCAUAGCAUGGCUUGCCAAGUGGUGCCGCACCCAGUAUUCGAACUGGCGAACACCUAGCCGCCAAAGCAGAACAUGAGAACUUAACCACUGUGCCACUGGGCUGGCCCGAAGUGCUUUUUACAUGUGAAUGUUGUUGUAUAAAUAUUUGCAGGUAUUAUUUUCCUGCUGCAAUUAUACGUAGCGGAUGUUGGAUGUUUUGUCUGCACUGCAUCCCUUCCUCCAUCUAUUGCUAAAGAGUGUUAAAAAUUUCCUUCUGAGGAGCAGCUCUCAUACACUCUGUGUGUCUUGGCUCGACUACCCUGCCCUCCCCUAGCCAUGAGACUUGUCACACUGUAAAUAAAGUCACACUUUAAAUUAAGCAAUACAUCAGGUCCCUAAAUUUUAGGGAUAUAAUUUGUGUGUGUGUGUGUGUGAGGAAGAUUGGCCCUGAGCUAACAUCUGUGCCAAUCUUCCUCUAUUUUAUAUGGGAUGCCACCACAGCAUGGCUUAUCAAGCAGUGCUAGAUCUGUGCCCAGGAUUCAAACCUGUGAACCCUGGGCUCCCACAGUGGAGCACACUAACAUAAUGAAUAUGCCACCCGGCUGGCCCCAGGAAUAUAAUUUUUAACUACCGUCACUUACCUGAUAUAAUCAUUAAAUUUAAAAUUCUGUGCCAUGCUAUCUGUGCUGAAAUUCAAACCACUUUAAAAUGUGACAGCUAAACAUAAUGCAAGCUGGUAACAGUUCUGGUACUAAAAAUUGUGGUGGUUUCUUCUGUUUACGUAACUCUUAGUACUGAAUCCUUUUCCACGAGGAUCUUGUUAAGAAGAGCAGAGUCAUGCUUCACCCUUAACAUCUACACCCUGUGACAUCAGAUUUUGAAGGGCUUUAUGUGAACUGGCAUAUUGUAAUUUUUCUAAGCAUUUAAAAAAAGAUAACAGAAUUGUUAUCUACAGUUUGUUACCUAACAGUUUGUUUAGGUACUAAUUCUGUUCAGAAAAAUAAGCCAGGAAAAGUUGAUGGUAUUCAUCAGGUUUUAACUGAGUGGA